rnacentral:rRNA from 1 species
AUUGAACGCUAGCGGGAUGCCUUACACAUGCAAGUCGAACGGCAGCACGGACUUCGGUCUGGUGGCGAGUGGCGAACGGGUGAGUAGCGUAUCGGAACGUGCCCAGUAGCGGGGGAUAACUACGCGAAAGCGUAGCUAAUACCGCAUACGCCCUAAGGGGGAAAGCGGGGGAUCGCAAGACCUCGCACUAUUGGAGCGGCCGAUAUCGGAUUAGCUAGUUGGUGGGGUAAAGGCCUACCAAGGCGACGAUCCGUAGCUGGUUUGAGAGGACGGCCAG